AUUUCAGGUUGGGAGAUCAGUUUCGUGCAAAUGGUUCGCAUCCUCAUCGUUCUUAUAGCAACCUAUUUCCUGGGUCUACAAAUCACAGCGAAGUCAGUAAAGGAUGCUCUUGGAACAAAGGAAGACGAUAUUUCAAAACAUAUGUUGCUUGAUUUUGAUAACACAGAUAACCUGGACACGAUAGUGCAUUUCAACAACGAGGAGGAAGGAAUGUUGGGGCCGGUAAUGUGGACACUGAACGAGGAGAUAUGACACAAACAACUACUGGGAGUGGUAAUACGACGUGGGAACUCCUGGUAUUUC